GUGGCCCAAAAGGUAGGGCGCCGGCCCCAUAUGCUGGAGGUGGUGGGUUCAAACCCACC
rfam:Otolemur garnettii contig081564, whole genome shotgun sequence.